GAUGAACGCUGGCGGCGCGCCUAACACAUGCAAGUCGAACGAGUGGCGAACGGGUGAGUAACACGUGACCAACCCGCCCCCCCCACCGGGACACCCUCGGGAAACCGAGGCUAAUACCGGAAAGGGGGGGACGGGGUCGCGGCCCAUCAGGUAGACGGCGGGGCGAAGGCCCGGCGUGCCGGAGCCGGGGAGCCCGGCGGAGAGGCCGAUCGGCCACAUUGUGACUGAGACACGGCCCAGAAUCCUACGAGAGGCAGCAGUGGGGAAUAUUGCGCAAUGGGGUAAACCCGGACACAGCUACGCCGCGUGAGGGAAGGAGGCCUUCGGGUCGUAAACCGCUUUCAGCAGGGAAGCGGUACCUGCAGAAGAAGCCCCGGCUAACUACGUGCCAGCAGCCGCGGUAAUUC
rnacentral:rRNA from 1 species